CGGGGGGAGCAAGCGUUGUUCGGAUUUACUGGGCGUAAAGGGCGCGUAGGCGGCGCAACAAGUCACUUGUGAAAUCUCCGGGCUUAACCCGGAGCGGCCAAGUGAUACUGUCGUGCUAGAGUGCGGAAGGGGCUACUGGAAUUCUCGGUGUAGCGGUGAAAUGCGUAGAUAUCGAGAGGAACACCUGCGGCGAAGGCGGGUAGCUGGGCCGACACUGACGCUGAGGCGCGAAAGCCAGGGGAGCGAACGGGAUUAGAUACCCCGGUAGUCCUGGCCUUAAACGAUGCAUACUUGGUGUCCGGGGUUACAUAGUCCCCGGGUGCCGGCGCUAACGCAUUAAGUAUCCCGCCUGGGGAGUACGGUCGCAAGACUG
rnacentral:rRNA from 1 species